AGCAGGGAGGCUGCUUUUGUAAGUGCUAUGAAAACAAGUUCCAGCAAAACUGAUCUUUAUCAGAUCCAGUUGAAAAGGCUGCACACACUGAAUAGUGAAACAGCCCUGUUAAAUUUUAAUCUGAGUUACAUAAAACAUUGUUCUUAAACUGGCACAUAUUGACAUUGUUCUCACAACCCAUUAACUUACAGCCGGAAAGUGAAAAGGCCAAGAGACACGUAAAACCUCUGUGUGAGUCCGUCUGUGCAUGUAUGUAAGCAACUUCUAGGGAGAGGUGCCUGCUCCAAACGAGAAGCCCUGGGUCACAGCAGUAACCCUUGCUGUUCAGAUGGGAUCCUUAGCAGAUAAGGAUCCAGCAUGGAUCACACCCAGCUGCACAACCCUGUCUCAGAGAAGUGUGAGCACUAAGAGGGUGCGAAGGCUGAGGAAGAAGAAAACAGGAGCUACUGGUCUUGGGUUUAGAUUCUAAAAGUUAAAGAGCAACUCAGCGAGAUAGCUUUUAAUUUGGACCCACAGUCUGUUCAUUUAAAUGUGCAGCUCCAGCACUUUCAGCCUUACCUGGAGCGGCCUGGCCAUUUGGAGAAGCUGUACCCCACCAGUUUGGGCAAACACAGUGUUGAUUGAUAUGGUGUGUCACUAAACACAGUUCCAGUGAUGGCUGUGACUCAGAUGUAUUGCCUUCAGUUGCACACUUACGCUCUCAAGGCAUGACCUCUGUAACUAAUAUGUGACAAAUGGGAGUGCUUCUCAGAAAGUGUCCCCCUAGGCCCUCGCACAGACAUGGCAGGGAGCAGGGAGGUAUUUAGUGCUAAAGCCCUGCUAAAAUUCUCAAAAGUGACUUUCCACUGGGUGACCAUUUCAGUGGCAAUGCUUUUCUUCAGGACCUGUGGCAUUGUCCUACAUCCUGCAUUAUGCAAUGAUUGUUGUAGGUAAUUACUUGUGGUAGUUAUUCUUUUUAGUGUAAGUUGUGCGCACUUUCUCAAGCAAGCAACAUGGUUUGCCUUUUAUAUUUGUAUUAUUGGGCUCUCUACAUAAUCUGUUUCAAAAUUCUAGUACAUGAACUUGCUUUUUCCUUUCCUGUCAUCAGUGAGAGUCAUUUGUAGAAUCAAUAGUAAAUGCUCCCCAACCUUCAAUUCAAUAUCAGACUGCAGCUCAGCUCCAGCAGACAUUUUUGGGUAAUGAAAAGCAGACAAAUAUUUAUUUGUGUCUGUUUCAUAACAUUUCUAUGUAUGUCCAUAUACACCUAUGCUUUUGCCUCGAUCUGAACUGAUUAUUUUUGUUGUGUUCGAUUCUUAAAGAAACAAAUUACAUUUAAGAAAAAUGACAUGAAUGUUUUCUUUAGGGUUGUUGUCUUUUUGUUGUUUUGGUUUUGUCUUUUUUGUCUUUGUUUUGGUUUUUUUGUUUGUUUGUUGGUUUGGCUUGGGGUUUUGU